GUGCUCGCUUCGGCAGCACAUAUACUAAAAAUUGGAACGAUACAGAGAAGAUUAGCAUGGCCCCUGCACAAGGAUGAAAUUCUGCAAUUUUCAGCAAAAUGGA
rnacentral:snRNA from 1 species